rnacentral:sRNA from 1 species
CCUCAUAGGUUCAACGGUGAUCUUUCCCCUCAUUUUCGGAAUCUUGCAGUUCCAUCUGGCUUAAAUUAUCGAAUACAGCUUAAAAAAAAUUGUGAUACAGAAGUGUGAAGCGAAACUCAAUCUCCAUGAAACUUCGCUUGCUCCUGGCGGCAGGUUGCCAUUUUGCUGCAAUGUCACUUGGUGACUCUGAACCAACGGCUGCAGUGAUAUUACCUGAACAUAAAGCCAUUGUUGAUGUGUUGGCCGGUUAUGGUGUGGAUGUGUUUGAACUCGUCGAUCCAUCCGAGCUUGCACAAUCAACAAGCACGUACUUCUUCGUUCCAGCCAUUACAUGCCGCCUGGUCUCCGAAAUUUUCCCUCAACAAGUUUUCCUGAGGAGCACGCCGGAGUACACGGAGUGGCGUAAUCUCUUCUGGUCACAGCAGCAAUCCGAAUCGAAACCUGCCUGUAUCUUGCAGCCAACUUCGAGCCGCCAGGUUGCCAUAGCUUUAUUGAUAGCUCGCCUAUGGAAUUGCCC